GGCCCAUUAGCUCAGUAGGUAGAGCACAUGACUUUUAAUCAUGGUGUCCCGAGUUCGACUCUCGGAUGGGUCACCA
rnacentral:tRNA from 1 species